GGUGAUCUAGCCAUGGGCAGGUUGAAGGUUGGGUAACACUAACUGGAGGACCGAACCGACUAAUGUUGAAAAAUUAGCGGAUGACUUGUGGCUGGGGGGGAAAGGCCAAUCAAACCGGGAGAUAGCUGGUUCUCCCCGAAAGCUAUUUAGGUAGCGCCUCGUGAAUUCAUCUCCGGGGGUAGAGCACUGUUUCGGCAAGGGGGUCAUCCCGACUUACCAACCCGAUGCAAACUGCGAAUACCGGAGAAUGUUAUCACGGGAGACACACGGCGGGUGCUAACGUCCGUCGUGAAGAGGGAAACAACCCAGACCGCCAGCUAAGGUCCCA
rnacentral:rRNA from 1 species